CGAUGGGAGCUUGCUCCCUGAGAUUAGCGGCGGACGGGUGAGUAACACGUGGGCAACCUGCCUAUAAGACUGGGAUAACUUCGGGAAACCGGAGCUAAUACCGGAUACGUUCUUUUCUCGCAUGAGAGAAGAUGGAAAGACGGUUUACGCUGUCACUUAUAGAUGGGCCCGCGGCGCAUUAGCUAGUUGGUGAGGUAAUGGCUCACCAAGGCGACGAUGCGUAGCCGACCUGAGAGGGUGAUCGGCCACACUGGGACUGAGACACGGCCCAGACUCCUACGGGAGGCAGCAGUAGGGAAUCUUCCGCAAUGGACGAAAGUCUGACGGAGCAACGCCGCGUGAACGAAGAAGGCCUUCGGGUCGUAAAGUUCUGUUGUUAGGGAAGAACAAGUACCAGAGUAACUGCUGGUACCUUGACGGUACCUAACCAGAAAGCCACGGCUAACUACGUGCCAGCAGCCGCGGUAAUACGUAGGUGGCCAGCGUUGUCCGGAAUUAUUGGGCGUAAAGCGCGCGCAGGUGGUUCCUUAAGUCUGAUGUGAAAGCCCACGGCUCAACCGUGGAGGGUCAUUGGAAACUGGGGAACUUGAGUGCAGAAGAGGAAAGUGGAAUUCCAAGU
rnacentral:rRNA from 1 species